rnacentral:rRNA from 1 species
UACGUAUGGUGCAAGCGUUGUCCGGAAUUAUUGGGCGUAAAGAGCUCGUAGGCGGUUUGUUGCGUCGGCUGUGAAAUCCCGAGGCUCAACCUCGGGUCUGCAGUCGAUACGAGCAAACUAGAGUGUUGCAGGGGAGACUGGAAUUCCUGGUGUAGCGGUGAAAUGCGCAGAUAUCAGGAGGAACACCGGUGGCGAAGGCGGGUCUCUGGGCAACAACUGACGCUGAGGAGCGAAAGCGUGGGGAGCGAACAGG